rnacentral:rRNA from 1 species
GUCCAGAGCCUCCACACAGAGCUCUCUCGCCCGGAUAACCCUCGUCUCACCCACAAGCCGAUGAAAGGGACGAGUGGGGGGACCUGCGCGACUAAGUACUCCCCGAAAUUGAAACACGACUUGUGGUC